rnacentral:rRNA from 1 species
AGUGGCGCACGGGUGAGUAACGCGUAAGUAAUCUACCCCUGUAUUUGGAAUAACCCACCGAAAGGUGAGCUAAUACCGAAUACGUUUAUCUUGAUGCGAAUGAUGAUAAAGAAAGGUGGCCUCUUCAUGAAAGCUACUGUACAGGGACGAGCUUGCGUACCAUUAGCUAGUUGGUAGGGUAAUGGCCUACCAAGGCGACGAUGGUUAGCGGGUCUGAGAGGAUGAUCCGCCACACUGGAACUGGAACACGGACCAGACUCCUACGGGAGGCAGCAGUGAGGAAUAUUGCGCAAUGGGGGCAACCCUGACGCAGCGACGCCGCGUGGAUGAUGAAGCCCUUGGGUCGUAAAAUCCUGUCAGAUGGAAAGAAAUGUAUAGCAGCUAAUAUCUGUUAUAUUUGACGGUACCAUCAAAGGAAGCACCGGCUAACUCCGUGCCAGCAGCCGCGGUAAUACCGAGGGUGCAAGCGUUGUUCGGAAUUACUGGGCGUAAAGCGCGC